UACGUAGGGUGCGAGCGUUAAUCGGAAUUACUGGGCGUAAAGCGUGCGCAGGCGGUUUUGUAAGUCAGCUGUGAAAGCCCCGGGCUUAACCUGGGAAUGGCGGUUGAAACUACAGGACUAGAAUCUGGCAGAGGGGGGUGGAAUUCCACGUGUAGCAGUGAAAUGCGUAGAGAUGUGGAGGAACACCGAUGGCGAAGGCAGCCCCCUGGGCUGAGAUUGACGCUCAGGCACGAAAGCGUGGGGAGCAAACAGG
rnacentral:rRNA from 1 species